AUUUUAAAAGUUUGUUUUGUAAUGAAAACAAUUAAUUUAUUGCAAAAAUUGAGUUUAAUUAUGUAAUAAUAAAUUGCAUUGUGUAUGUGUGUGAAGAAUUGCAUUUUGUGAUUCAAUUGCAUUGAAUGAACAGUUUUUCUUGAAGACAAUUUGAAUUUGGUACUGGAAAUUUGAGUAUUCAUCAUUGUAUGCUAUACUAACUUUAUUAUCUCUAAUAAGGUGUCUAAAUAAAAUUCAUUCUAUAUUAAAUAAUUGAAAAAAUAAAUAAAUAAAAAUACAUAAAAUAUUUUACAUAAAUUUAAUAAUAAUUACAUUAAAAUACAAAUAUACAUAUAUAUAUAUACAUACAUUAAUUAUAUAAAAUUAAAUUAUAUAAAAUUAUAAAAAAAAAAAACAAUAAUUAAAUAUUAUGAAUGACCUUUAAGUGUUUUACACGAUCAAAAGGAAAAAUAAAGAAAAUUUUUUAGUAUACAAGGAGAAAAAAGAAAAGAAACAGAAAAUUCCUUUUGUAAAAUAAAAAGGAAAACAAUAAUAAAAAAAAUUUUAUUUCUAUAUUUUAAAUUUUUACAAUUUUUAUUAUUUUUCUUGGAAAAAAUAUUUUUAUACAAUUUGCAUUGGUGCUUUAUUAAACAUUUAUAAUUAUAAAAUUAGAAAAGAAAAACAAAAAAUGUGAUUCUGUUUAUUAGAAAAAAAUUCUUUUGAUUACAAUUAAACUAAAUUAAAGUCACUUAAACUGAAACAUAAUUGCAAAGACAAAGACAGAGAGAUAGAACAAGAGCGAAACAGACAGAAAAGAAGGCAAGAGAAAGAGAGAGAGAGAGGAAGAAAGAGUGAAAAAAUAAGGAAACUAUUAAAACAAAAACAUAGCCAACAGUCCGACUGAAGAUUUAUUUUUCUCUUUCGUUUUCAUUUUCAUCCAUUUUUGAAAAACGAGAAACAAAAGGUAAGUGUUUUGUAAUGGAGCACAGAUUGUUUUUGAAAACAGUUAACAGAUAUGUAGAUUCCACUAAGUUUUUAUUAAGAAAUUAAGGUAAUUUAUAUUAUACGGUUUGUUUUAAAGUAACAGAUCCUUUUAACUCUAUUACUAACAAAUUAUUAUAAUCCUCGUCUUGCUCUCUGUACCAUUCUUUAUAGGUCUCUAAUUUUUGUUUAUCAUAAUAUUUUUAUUAAAGUUGAUUAAAAAGAUUUUGAUUUUAAACUGCCAUAGUACUUUGAUUUA